UUUAUUGAGCGCAUGCAAAUUAGAUUUUGGAAUACUCACACUGGACUCGCACAAGGCCCAACAAAUUGCACGAAAUGGGCCCACACGCCUGUGUGGCCUACACAGCUUACUUGUCUAGGUCGUUGGGCCACAAGAUAUGGCACACAACCAACCACAUGCUCGUGUAGUUCACACGGCCAAUCACAUAUCACACGGCCUAACACACGACUAGACACA
rnacentral:lncRNA from 1 species